rnacentral:lncRNA from 1 species
UGUUUUACACUGUUUUACAGCUUUAAAUGCAUUAUGGGGUUUGAUGUGUUCAUUUUACAGAUUUGUGUGCAUAUACUACGUUUUUACUAAUUAUGGGUUGAAUGACUGAAAAAAACUGAUAUUGUAUGUUGUCUGUUGAUAUGAAUUACGAUUUGCUUGUUUAAAUGUGAAUUGAUGAUGUUGAUUGAGGAAAAGGAAAAUGAAAGAUUGUAUACACUGAUAAUUGUAUUAUGGGGGUCAGCCUGACUAGAUAUCCUGGGAGAUGGUGGACGGACCGGGUCCGUAGGGAACCCUACCGGGAUCGUGGUCUCACAUGCCGGACGGGGUAUGGAGAUCUUAUGGUUUUGGCGCCCAUACCGGACGGGGUAUGGGGACGGCCCGUUUCACCCUCAUACCGGACGGGGUAUUGAGGUUUAUGGUUUUGGCGCCCAUACCGGACGGGGUAUGGGGACGGCCCGUUUCACCCUCAUACCGGACGGGGUAUUGAGGUUCAUGGUUUUGGCGCCCAUACCGGACGGGGUAUGGGGACGGCCCUGGAAACUGAUUAUGAAUGUUAAAGGUUAACGGGUAGCGGAACCCCUAUGGACCCCCAUGGAUACUAGUAGGCUGGUAAAUGAGAAAAAAGAUAUGUUGUACAAUGAUUGUAUUACAAGGGGUGUGAUAAGUGUUAUGCUUUACAGCUUAGAUUAUUCAAUGAUUAUGAUAAUGUUAUUGUUUUCUCAUAUUGUUUUCAUAAAUUCCACCAAGGUAAGUGGAUGGUAAAAGUUUUAUUAUUGAUAAAAGGUUUUGUUGUAAAUUAUGCUCCAUUGGUCUUUUUGUGGUUUUCUACCCACCUUUAUCUCCGUGACGGUGAGAUAUCGUGAUGUUCUUACUGGGCUAGUGUAGCUCAUUCCUUAAUUAACCAUUUCAGAUCAGGAAGACAUGGUUCCCGAGCCCGUUCCGCAGGAGGACGACGAAGGGGAUGCCUAGAGACUCUGUAGUCACACGCAUAGUUUAUUUUCGAGUUUUCUUUCUUAGUUAGUUUAACCUUUUAUAUUUUAAGUACGUUUGUUUGGUUUUUCGUGUAAGGGAUGUUAAUUGAAAUUUUGAUCUCGCUUCCGCAUUCGAUAUGAUUUAAAUACUCAUUUCAUUUUAAUAUUUUCCGGGGCCGUUACAAAACAUAUCUAUAAUGCAUAAUAAGUUUACACCCUUCAGGUUUAGCCAAAAG